UACGGAGGGUGCGAGCGUUAAUCGGAAUAACUGGGCGUAAAGGGCACGCAGGCGGGUUUUCAAGUGAGAUGUGAAAUCCCCGGGCUUAACCUGGGAAUAGCAUUUCAGACUGGGAGUCUAGAGUGUUUUAGGGGGGGGUGGAAUUCCACGUGUAGCGGUGAAAUGCGUAGAGAUGUGGAGGAAUACCGAAGGCGAAGGCAGCCGCUUGGGAAUGUACUGACACUCAUGUGCGAAAGCGUGGGGAGCAAACAGG
rnacentral:rRNA from 1 species